GAAAAGUUUUAUUUAGAGUUGCAAAUUGGGUUGUUCUUGAAAGAAAAUUUGCUUUAAGAAUUUAAUCUCUGAAAAGCAAAGACAGAGAGAGGGAUCCAAUCAUCGAAGUGGGUGUGUGUCAUAGGCAGUCAAGUCCUUUUCUGAGCCAUGAACGUACAGUGCCAUCUUCUUCUACUUCUUGCUUCCUCUUUCUUCCUUGUUAAAGUCUUGGAGUCACGCGUUCUCUCUCUCACUCUCUCUCUCAUGCAAUUGCCCUCCUUUCUUUAUCAUGCGAAAAACAUAUAUAAACAAACCUGCAGUGCUAUGCCCACAUACAAGAAGCAAAGGAGAGAGAUAGAGAGAGAACAAAAAUGGUGGGG
rnacentral:misc_RNA from 1 species